UCUCAUGCCUACAGACAUACCCAGCGGAUCCAUCCACUGGUGCCAGGGAAGAGAAAGAGGAUGAUGCAAUAAAACCUUAGAUAAAGCCCCCGGGCUGUGCACUCUGCCAUUUCCAAGCCCAGCUCUGCAUUAGCUCACACCUG